UCAAGUUAAUAAGAGCUUUGGGUGGAUACCUAGACAUUCAGAAGCGAUGAAGGGCGUGGUUACCGACGAAACACCUCGGGGAGCUGGAAACAAGCUUAGAUCCGGGGAUUCCCGAAUGAGGAAACUCUUUAUACUUCUUUUUUGAAUAUAUAGAUUAAGAAGAGCGAACCUGGUGAACUGAAACAUCUAAGUAACCAGAGGAAAAGAAAGCAAAAGCGAUUCUCUUAGUAGCGGCGAGCGAAACGGGAACAGUCUAAACUAAACUUUUGUUUAGGGUUGCGGGAGAGACUAUUAUAAAUUCUUCUAUUGUUAGAUGAAGCGCUUGGAAUCGCGCGCCAUAGAAAGUGAUAGCCUUGUAAUUGAAAACAAAAUAAAGAAUUUGUCUUUUUCCCAAGUAGGAGGGGAUAAGUGAAGCCCCCUUUGAAUCUACGAGGACCACCUCGUAAGACUAAAUAUUACUGAAUGAUCGAUAGUGAACCAGUACCGUGAGGGAAAGGUGAAAAGAACCCCGGAAGGGGAGUGAAAAGAACAUGAAACCGAAAGCUUACAAGCAGUAGAAGGACGACUAUAACGUCUAACUUCGUUCCUGUUGAAGUAUGAGCCGGCGACUUGUAGGUAGUGGCAGGUUAAGGUUAUACCGGAGCCACAGUGCAAGCGAGCCUUAAUAGGGCGUCGUCACUAUUUACAGACCCGAACCCGGAUGAUCUAACCAUGGCCAGUGUGAAACUUGGGUAAUGCUAAGUGGAGGCGCGAACCGACUGUUGUUGAAAAAACAGCGGAUGAGUUGUGGUUAGGGGUGAAAUGCCAAUCGAAUCCGGAGCUAGCUGGUUCUCCCCGAAAUGUGUUUUGGCACAGCGGUUAAUGUUUGAGUUCAGGGGUAAAGCACUGUUUCGGUGCGGGCUGCUAACGCGGUACCAAAUCGUGGCAAACUCAGAAUACUGAACAUUUCAUAAUUAACCAGUCAGACUGUGGGGGAUAAGCUCCAUUGUCAAGAGGGAAACAGCCCAGACUACUAGCUAAGGCCCCUAAAUUAUGGCUAAGUGAUAAAGGAGGUGGGGAUUCUAAAACAACCAGGAGGUUUGCUUAGAAGCAGCAACCCUUUAAAGAGUGCGUAAUAGCUCACUGUUCGAGUGACCCUGCGCCGAAAAUGUACGGGGCUAAGUCAUAUGCCGAAGCUGUAGGAUAUAAACAUAAAAUAUCGGUAGGGGAGCGUUCUAUACCGAUUUGAAGCGCUAACGUAAGUGGGCGUGGAUUGGAUAGAAGUGAGAAUGUUGGCUUGAGUAGCGAAAAUAUUGGUGAGAAUCCAAUAUCCCGAAAACCUAAGGGUUCCUCCGGAAGGCUCGUCCGCGGGGGGUUAGUCAGGGCCUAAGCCGAGGCGGAAAAGCGUAGGUGAUGGACAACAGGUUAAUAUUCCUGUACUUUUUACUAAUGAUAUAGAGGGACGGAGAAGGCUAUACUCGCCGGAUGUUGGUUACCGGUCUAAGUGUACGAGGUGUUGAGAGGCGGUGAAAACGCCUUGAGCUAAGGCAUGAUGGGUAGGUAUAGUAAUUAUACCGAAUGAGUUAAGGUCAGGCUUCCAAGAAAAGCUUUUAAUAUCGUAAUUAGUGAAAACCUGUACCCGAAACCGACACAGGUAGGUAGGUAGAGAAUACCAAGGGACGCGAGAUAACUCUCUCUAAGGAACUCGGCAAAAUGACCUCGUAACUUCGGAAGAAGAGGUACCCUGAAAAGGGUUGCAAAAUCCAGGCUCAGGCGACUGUUUAUCAAAAACACAGGUCUCCGCUAAGUUGUAAAACGAUGUAUGGAGGCUGACGCCUGCCCAGUGCCGGAAGGUUUAAGAAGUUGGUUAUUCUUUGAAGAAGCUGAUGACUAAAGCCCCGGUGAACGGCGGCCGUAACAAUAACGGUCCUAAGGUAGCGAAAUUCCUUGUCGGGUAAGUUCCGACCCGCACGAAAGGCGUAACGAUCUGAGCACUGUCUCAGAGAGAGACUCGGCGAAAUAGACAUGUCUGUGAAGAGGCGGACUACCUGCACCUGGACAGAAAGACCCUAUGAAGCUUUACUGUAGCUUGAAAUUGUUUUCACGUCUUGCACGCGCAGGAUAGGUGGGAGACUGAGAAGGAAUCUCUUCGGGGGUUCUGGAGUCACACGUGAGAUACCACUCUUGUAAGACUAGAAUUCUAACCUCAGACCGUUAUCCGGCUGAGGGACCAUUUUAGGUGGGCAGUUUGACUGGGGCGGUCGCCUCCCAAAAGGUAACGGAGGCGUGCAAAGGUUUCCUCAGGUUGGUUGGAAAUCAACCUUCGAGCGCAAAGGUAUAAGGAAGCUUGAUUGCGAGACCUACAAGUCGAGCAAAGACGAAAGUCGGCCUUAGUGAUCCGACACUACCGAGUGGAAGGAGUGUCGCUCAACGGAUAAAAGUUACUCUAGGGAUAACAGGCUGAUCUCUCCCAAGAGUUCACAUCGACGGAGAGGUUUGGCACCUCGAUGUCGGCUCAUCGCAUCCUGGGGCGGUAGUACGUCCCAAGGGUUGGGCUGUUCGCCCAUGAAAGCGGUACGCGAGCUGGGUUCAGAACGUCGUGAGACAGUUCGGUCCAUAUCCGGUGCAGGCGUUAGAGCAUUGAGAGAAGCUUUCCCUAGUACGAGAGGACCGGGAAAGAUACACCUCUGGUGUACCAGUUAUCGUGCCAACGGUAAACGCUGGGUAGCUACGUGUAGUUGGAUAACCGCUGAAAGCAUCUAAGUGGGAAGCCAUACUCAAGAUGAGUGCUCUCAUCCUAAAAGGAUUAAGGUCACGGUUAGAUUAGCCGUUCGAUAGGUAUCAAGUGUAAGUGCAGCAAUGCAUUCAGCUGAGAUAUACUAAUAGACCGAAAACUUGA
rnacentral:rRNA from 1 species